rnacentral:lncRNA from 1 species
AUGAAAUCCAAACAAGCACGAAGUGUCAAAUCUUUCCUUGAUCUGUCUUGAUGUCUUUAUCUCCCAGUUUCUUGAUCUUUAUAUUCGUAGUGCAAGAAAAUAAUGAAUUGCUUUGCCUUUGUGAUGUCUUUUACUUGGAACAUGGUAUUGGUAAAAGAUUAGUGCAAGUGAUUUGGGUUUAUUUUCAUGAAAUUCUCCAAAAUUGUGGGCAGAGAAUGCUGUACAUAGGAUGUUUCUGCGAUCUUCCUUUUCCGAUAAAUACUUACAUUUGAAGUACUAAUUUAUGUCUGUGUUUAAUAUUUAUGCAGGUAAAGAAAGAGCGAGCUGAACGUGAGGCUUUGGGCGCUUUGCCCCUCUAUGAGCGCACAAUUCCAUGAUUCUCUUCUAGUGCAGGUUUGUGACAUCCUUGGCUAAACGAUUAUUUACAGAGAGAUGGCCAAUUUCUAUUUCUGAUUGAUUUUCGUAUUCUGAAUAAUAAGAACAGUGAUCCUGCUCUAGGUCUAUGGACCAGGAAAUAGAGGAUUAUUCUGUAUUUCAUGAUGUUUGAUGAUCAAAAUCACUUGGAUUUGUUUUUCCUCAUCUGGGAUGUUUGUUCGCCCUUAACAAUGUUUGAACGAAUCUUUCUGUUUCUUCUGUCUCUCUCUUGAGUGUCUCCAUCAUCUUUCCAUCCCUCCAUUCUC